AGCGAACGCUGGCGGCGUGCCUAACACAUGCAAGUCGAGCGCGGGCAUUUCGGGGGUAACCCCGGGAUGUGCUGAGCGGCGGACGAGUGAGUAAUACGUGGACAACCUGCCUUAAAGCUUGGGAUAACUCCGGGAAACUGGAGCUAAUACCGGAUAAGACCACGGUGUCUAUGGAUGCUGAGGUAAAAGGCGGCCAGGAAACUGGCUGUUGCUUAAAGAUGGGUCCACGUCCCAUCAGGUAGUUGGUGAGGUAAAGGCUCACCAAGCCAAAGACGGGUAGCUGGCCUUAGCGGGUGGUCAGCCACACGGGGACUGAGACACGGCCCCGACUCCUACGGG
rnacentral:rRNA from 1 species